GUGCUUAUAUCACACAUAUACUAACACUGAAAGGACACAGGGAAGAUUAGCUUGGCACCUGCGUGAGAAUGACACACAAAUUCGUGACGCAUUCCAUGUUUUU
ensembl:snRNA U6 U6 spliceosomal RNA